UUGAACGCUGGCGGCAGGCCUAACACAUGCAAGUCGAGCGGUAGCACAGAGAGCUUGCUCUCGGGUGACGAGCGGCGGACGGGUGAGUAAUGUCUGGGAAACUGCCUGAUGGAGGGGGAUAACUACUGGAAACGGUAGCUAAUACCGCAUAAUGUCGCAAGACCAAAGUGGGGGACCUUCGGGCCUCAUGCCAUCAGAUGUGCCCAGAUGGGAUUAGCUAGUAGGUGGGGUAACGGCUCACCUAGGCGACGAUCCCUAGCUGGUCUGAGAGGAUGACCAGCCACACUGGAACUGAGACACGGUCCAGACUCCUACGGGAGGCAGCAGUGGGGAAUAUUGCACAAUGGGCGCAAGCCUGAUGCAGCCAUGCCGCGUGUGUGAAGAAGGCCUUCGGGUUGUAAAGCACUUUCAGCGGGGAGGAAGGCGGUGAGGUUAAUAACCUCAUCGAUUGACGUUACCCGCAGAAGAAGCACCGGCUAACUCCGUGCCAGCAGCCGCGGUAAUACGGAGGGUGCAAGCGUUAAUCGGAAUUACUGGGCGUAAAGCGCACGCAGGCGGUCUGUCAAGUCGGAUGUGAAAUCCCCGGGCUCAACCUGGGAACUGCAUUCGAAACUGGCAGGCUAGAGUCUUGUAGAGGGGGGUAGAAUUCCAGGUGUAGCGGUGAAAUGCGUAGAGAUCUGGAGGAAUACCGGUGGCGAAGGCGGCCCCCUGGACAAAGACUGACGCUCAGGUGCGAAAGCGUGGGGAGCAAACAGGAUUAGAUACCCUGGUAGUCCACGCCGUAAACGAUGUCGAUUUGGAGGUUGUGCCCUUGAGGCGUGGCUUCCGGAGCUAACGCGUUAAAUCGACCGCCUGGGGAGUACGGCCGCAAGGUUAAAACUCAAAUGAAUUGACGGGGGCCCGCACAAGCGGUGGAGCAUGUGGUUUAAUUCGAUGCAACGCGAAGAACCUUACCUGGUCUUGACAUCCACAGAACUUUCCAGAGAUGGAUUGGUGCCUUCGGGAACUGUGAGACAGGUGCUGCAUGGCUGUCGUCUGCUCGUGUUGUGAAAUGUUGGGUUAAGUCCCGCAACGAGCGCAACCCUUAUCCUUUGUUGCCAGCGGUUAGGCCGGGAACUCAAAGGAGACUGCCAGUGAUAAACUGGAGGAAGGUGGGGAUGACGUCAAGUCAUCAUGGCCCUUACGACCAGGGCUACACACGUGCUACAAUGGCAUAUACAAAGAGAAGCGACCUCGCGAGAGCAAGCGGACCUCAUAAAGUAUGUCGUAGUCCGGAUUGGAGUCUGCAACUCGACUCCAUGAAGUCGGAAUCGCUAGUAAUCGUAGAUCAGAAUGCUACGGUGAAUACGUUCCCGGGCCUUGUACACACCGCCCGUCACACCAUGGGAGUGGGUUGCAAAAGAAGUAGGUAGCUUAACCUUCGGGAGGGCGCUUACCACUUUGUGAUUCAUGACUGGGGUG
rnacentral:rRNA from 1 species